rnacentral:rRNA from 1 species
AUGCCUAACACCGCAUAUCGACACCACCAUGGACCUCUCAUACAUCGCACCCGUCAUCACGUCCAUCGGCCAGCAUAUGCAACCAGCUGCGCGGAAGUGCACUCGAUUGAUCACCUGCUCGACUUGUGCUACAAGCUACAGGAAAUUGCAGUUUCCACCAUGUCCUUCUCCUUGUGUUGCACAAACAAUCAUUUGGACGAUUAUUUUGCAUUUUCCAUUAAGUGGUGGUCUAAUCUGCUUCAGUUUCUACCACUUGGUCAUCUAAUCAACUAUGUAGUCCUGAUGAAAGCAGAAAAUGACAGCUAG